CGAACGGGUGAGUAACACGUGAGUAACCUGCCCUUCACUCUGGGAUAACGUCGGGAAACCGGUGCUAAUACUGGAUAUGACCUACUCGGGCAUCCGAUGUGGGUGGAAAGAUUUAUUGGUGGGGGAUGGACUCGCGGCCUAUCAGCUUGUUGGUGAGGUAAUGGCUUACCAAGGCGACGACGGGUAGCCGGCCUGAGAGGGCGAUCGGCCACACUGGGACUGAGACACGGCCCAG
rnacentral:rRNA from 1 species